GGAGGCGUAGCUCAGUGGCAGAGUGCUAGCCUAGCAUGUGUGAGGCCCUGAGUUCGACUCUAGCACUUCCA
rnacentral:tRNA from 1 species